UACGUAGGGUGCGAGCGUUGUCCGGAAUUAUUGGGCGUAAAGAGCUCGUAGGCGGUUUGUCGCGUCGACUGUGAAAACCUACAGCUUAACUGUGGGCUUGCAGUCGAUACGGGCAGACUUGAGUUCGGUAGGGGAGAGUGGAAUUCCUGGUGUAGCGGUGAAAUGCGCAGAUAUCAGGAGGAACACCGGUGGCGAAGGCGGGUCUCUGGGCCGAUACUGACGCUGAGGAGCGAAAGCGUGGGGAGCGAACAGG
rnacentral:rRNA from 1 species